rnacentral:rRNA from 1 species
CAUGUAGGCGGUUGUUUAAGUCUGAUGUGAAAGCCCUGGGCUCAACCCAGGAAGUGCAUUGGAUACUGGCCAACCUGAGUACGGGAGAGGAAAGUGGAAUUUCGAGUGUAGGGGUGAAAUCCGUAGAUAUUCGAAGGAACACCAGUGGCGAAGGCGGCUUUCUGGACCGAUACUGACGCUGAGAUGCGAAAGCGUGGGGAGCAAACA